UGAGAAAAUCUUCCUAUUACAAGCGUGUCAACAAACCCAAGUUCACGUACAAGAUGAUAAUUUCCCUCGUAAUCCUGAACCUCGGGGCUGCACUGGCAAUAGCCUUGAUCUUCGACGCCAUUCCGAAGACUCUAAAGCAACCUCACGUCUACGCUUGGUACGCGGCGCAGCUUGUAGGGGGCAUCCUGAUCCCGUACUCCUACGGUGCGGUGGUACCGUACUUCGUGCAAAAAGUAUCUGGAGUUCCACCUCUAAAAAUUAAAUGAGCUCAUUGCGUUU